rnacentral:rRNA from 1 species
GACGAACGCUGGCGGCGUGCUUAACACAUGCAAGUCGAACGAGAGCGUAGAGAAAGCUUGCUUUUUCUACAAUCUAGUGGCAAACGGGUGAGUAACGCGUAAACAACCUGCCCUACGGAUGGGGACAACAGCUGGAAACGGCUGCUAAUACCGAAUACGUUCCGAAAGUCGCAUGACUAUCGGAAGAAAGGAUGGCCUCUAUUUAUAAGCUAUCGCCGGAGGAGGGGUUUGCGUCUGAUUAGCUAGUUGGAGGGGUAACGGCCCACCAAGGCGACGAUCAGUAGCCGGUCUGAGAGGAUGAACGGCCACAUUGGAACUGAGACACGGUCCAGACUCCUACGGGAGGCAGCAGGGGGGAAUCUUCCGCAAUGGGCGAAAGCCUGACGGAGCAACGCCGCGUGAGUGAAGACGGCCUUCGGGUUGUAAAGCUCUGUUAUACGGGACGAAUAAUCUUGUGGUUAAUACCCAUGAGAAGUGACGGUACCGUAAGAGAAAGCCACGGCUAACUACGUG